UCGGACCAGGAUUUUGCAGAUCUCUGCUCAAAGCUGCUGAAACGAGUCCGCAAGAAACCAGGUGAGUCCAGGCAGCCGCGUAAAGCAGAGCAACAGCCCUCCAGUCCGGCAAGUGAAGGCACCAAGAGAAGGAGAAAUGGCAAGAAGACUGGUGACUCUGGGUCUAAAAUCACCAGCACCCAGUCUGUCCGCACUGGAGCAAGCCAACGAGCGGCCAGUAGAGGCACUGGGUGUGACUCAGGAGAUGCUGGGUCGUCAGCUGCGCUCUCAGCAGCAGCAGCAGCACCAUCAGCAGCUCCACCACCACCACCAGCAGCAGCAGCUCCACCACCUCCACCAGCACCAUCAGCAGCUCCACCACCAGCAGCAGCAGCAGCUCCACCACCAGCCAGCAGCAGCAGCUCCACCACCUCCACCAGCAGCAGCAGCACCACCACCUCCACCACCACCAGCAGCAGCAGCAGCAGCAGCACCACCACCAUCAGGAGCACCACCGCCACCAACAGCAGUAGCAGCUCCACCACCUCCACCGCCACCAUCAGCAGCUCCACCACCACCAGCAGCAGCAGCAGCACCACCGCCACCAUCAGCAGCAGCACCACCGCCACCAUCAGCAGCAACACCAUCAGCAGCAGCACCACCGCCACCAACAGCAGUAGCAGCUCCACCAGUACCAGCAGCAGCAGCACCACCAACAGCAGCACCACCACCAGCAGCAGGACCAGGACCCAGAGCUGAGAGAGGUCUGAGAGCGAAAGACAAAGUACUCCUCAGAAUGCAACAGUUCAAGAGAGAGAGUCCUCAGAGGAUGACGCACAAGAACCAGAGCCAGCCGACAAACCAAGAGAACGACAGUGGUCACCAUCCACAACCACAAAAACAAGCUGGGCCACCCUCCCCUCUGCGUGCAGAUCCUCCACAACCUUGCAGCUCUAAUCUCCAGGUGGAGAGCGACGAGGCGCUGGCCCUAAAGCUGCAGCAGGAGCUGGAUAGGGAGGCAGCAGAGGCGGAGACGGUGGACCUUGAGGAUGGAGGCCUCUUCUUCUGUCAGAUCUGCCACAGAGACCUGUCACACAUGACUCCUGAUGGGCGAACACAGCAUCUUAACAGGUGUUUAGAUAAGAGUGAAGAGAGCGCCCCAGCCGCUCCUCCUCCUCCUCCUCCUCCUGGUGUCCCUGACUGUCCCAUCUGUGGCAAGAAGUUCAAGUCCCAGAAGAGUCGCUCAGCCCACCUGAAACGCUGCUCCUCAGACCUGGGUGUGCCUCCAGCUGUGUUGCUGGAGGCUCUGCAGAGACAGGCUGAGGAGACCCAGAAUGCCCUCACUACUAACACACUUGCACAAACUGGAGGCACCAAAAGGAAAGCCCCCCCCAAGCCAGGCCUUCCAGUGAGGAAGAAGCCCAGGAAGAAGACUGAUCCCCUGGAUGAAGACACCAUGGUGGCUCUGGCUCUGUCCUCCUCCAUGCUGGAACAGGAGAGGGAGGCAGGGAGAAAGUUACAAACUGAGAUUGCUGCUUCUCACACCUCCAUGGCUCCAGAGCUGAAGUGGAGACCAGAUGCAGGUAAAGGGCGUGGGAAGAAGAAAAAGGGCGCCGUCCCUCGUCCUCCUCCGCUCCUCCUCGUUCAGGAUGCUCAGGAGGCCCUGGUGAGGCUGCAGGAACGUGUGUCUGCUCUCCUCCUACGCACCCGGCCCCCCACUCCCCCCACCCCGACCUGCUGCCCCAGCAGUCUGCCUGGCUGCAGCGGUGCUGCCCCCCUCUGGGAGAAAAGCGCACUGCUGAACAGCAGCUCCACCUGUCUGUCUGAUUUCUACACUCCAGAGCUCAGAGAGUUCAUCACGCCUUGGGAAUCGACAACGACUAACAAAGCCUCCUCCAGUGAUGGCAACAGGCUGGAGUCUUCUCUCCAACCUGUGAGUGAAGGAACUCCUGUUACAAGGACCAGGUCCUCCAUCCUGCCAUCUUCUGCCCAGACUGUAGCCUCCUCCCCGGCUCCCUCCACCCCAGGGACAGGGCAGCUCCCAGUGGGCAGCCAGACCCUGCGGGACCUGAUGGAGGUGGCUGAAGAUGGCAUGACCCUCACACAGUGCGGAUAUACUACCUCAGGCCCCGAUAAAGACAAGCAGAGCCGUGUCAGUCUGUCCACAAACCUUCAUCUCAGUGGCUUUGUGCUGGAGGAGGCAGAGGAGCAAGCUGAUCUGUGUUCGAGCGGCUUCCUACCAGAAACCAUACACACACUCUCAGAGGACACACGCAGCCGAGAUCAGCCAAGAGCAGAUAUGGAGCAAGGCAGCCACCGAUCAGUGGCACUAUCCAGACUGGCCUCAAACCUCAGCAGCAUGGUGAACAAUCCUCAGCUCAGUGAUUUGCAGCUCCAGGUGGACAGUGGAGAGGUCUACUUUGCCCAUUCCUUCAUGGUGUAUGCUCGCUGCCCCCUGCUGGCAGAAAUGGUACAUGAAAGUGGUUUUGGGGUGCGGGAGGAAGGCAUGCCUGCAGCCCAGAGGGUGUUGAUGAGUGACGUCCCGGGACAGGCAGUGUUCACUCUGCUGCAGUACCUCUACACAGCCCACUGCUCCAUCCCAGCGUCAUUGCGACCUCAUGUACUGGAGCUGGCAUCCAGGUUUGACAUGCAGGAGCUACAGCAGCUUUGUGAGCUCCACCAAGAGGAGGCAGACGACAUGAACCAUGAGGAGAAUGUCAACGACCAAACAGGCCAGGCCUUCAUAGAGCUCCUCCGCUCUAUGUGGACUGAAGAGGACGAGGAAGACGAGGGGACGGAUACAGAUGGAGCAAAGGAUGAAGAGAGAGGUUCGGAAGAGAACGGUCAAACUGAUGAUGUAACAUCUGGUGAGAGGGAGAUUUGUGAGGAACAAGUGAAUGAGGAAGAGCUGGAGGAGAUCUAUGAGUUUGCUGCCACGCAGAGAAAGAGAGAGGAGGAGAAAAACAGCGUGGAGGAGGAGGAAAAGGUGGAUGAUGGAGAAGAUGGAGAAGAAGUUCUCGCAGAGCUGACAGAACCUAAAAAAGGCCUCAGUGAGAAAACCCCAAAGCUGAGCUCUCAACUUGAGCCAGACCCCAGCCUGGAUCGCAGCUGCAGUCGCCUCUUCACAGAUUCUUGGGGAGUCUACGAGGAAAAAGACCCCUCUUCCUCCUCAUCCUCAACCUCCGGCCUGCCAAAGACACAUACCUCUCAAUCUCAGAGAGGCCAUUCCUCUCAUAAACCUUCAUGCAAAUUCUCCAGCAGAACUUUGCUUCAUUCUUCACCAAGCUUAGUUGAUGACCUUUUCCCCAGCCCUCCACACAGUACAUCCAACCUGCCUAUCCCAGGCCUGUCCCCUGCACAAUUGGGCAAUUGGGGUGGUGGUGGUGGAGACAAGGGAACAGAUGCUGCUGAAUGGGAAGCGGUUAAAGAAUCUCCAUCUUUGAAGCGAGAAAGCCAAGGUCCUCGUAGUAUUUGCGUUGCCGUUUCUCCUGGUUCACCCUCAAAAAAGGAGGAACCUGAGCUCAUAGUUUUGUCUGACUCGAGCGAAGAGAUGGAGGUAGAUCUUGCUGUUCUUAGCUCCCGCAGUCCUUCGCCACGUUCUCCUUGCACCGUCCAGAACCUGCAGAGCUACACCCGGAUCAAACCUCAGUCAGUCCCGAGAUCUACUGGACCCACCGUGGAGAAUAGAGUGUUCAGUAGUUUAGAGUUCAGUCCCGGUGAUCCACCUGCAGCCUCGGUUCAACGUCAUCCAGGUUCCGGUUGUGAGCAGAGUCCGGUAGACUGCUCUCCAGAGGUUUCCUGGCUGAUCCCAUCUACACCAGUGCAGCCCGGAAGAUGCAGCAGCUCCACACAGACUAAAAGCAGCAUGUGCAGGACGCGGCUGUUCCCUAAAGGUGAUAGCUCCUCACCCUCUUCUGCUUCCUCUUCUCCUGGUCCACGACUUCACAACAGACUUAAGACCUCAAGCAGUGGAACCAGAGCUUCUGCCCACGCUGGCCCAACAGAGAGCAGUGUUCCUAGGUUGAAACCAGAUGAGGCUGGUCCUAAUAGCUCCAGCUUGGAUCUUAGCUUUUCCCCCAAAGGAAAGAGUAAUUAUAAUUCAAGUAAGAGUAGAGAAGAGUUUGCAGCUCCCCUGUGCCAACCAAAGUUCUCACACCUCUCAAGCUCGACUCACUGUCAUCCCCUCCAAGCUUCCUUAAAUACGGAUACACCCCUCCACAUCCAGCCACAGCCUCACAGCAGCACACCUCUGCAUACAGAGCUCGACCCACGACCUGUCCUUCCUGCUGCCUCCCCGCUCCACAGUAGUCUCAAAAAGCAGAGGUCGAACAGCCAGGGAAGGGACAGGGCGCCAUCGGAAAGCCCAGAGAAGACAGAGCUAGUGAGCUUCCAUCUCUCCCCCUUGUCCGACCCUUCAGAUCUACCUUCCUCUUCAUCUCACAGAGGUCUUCAAAGUUCACAGAGACACAGCAAGUCCUCCAGUGAAAGUGGAUGCUCUGUUGAGUCCAGCAGUCAGAAGAGGACAGGAAUAAGAAAUGAGGAAGGAGAAGGAGAAACAGAGUGCCAAAAUAAAGACACGUGCGAUGAAGGAGAGCAAGAAGAAGCAGAAGAAGAAGGCAGGGAGACAGAGGUUGCAGAGUCCAGUUUCCGACAGAGCUUCAUGGAUGAGCCUCCCAUUGCUUUUAACGACUCCUGGGGCCUAGAUGCCUGCGUGGAGGCCAACCCAGGCUGCUUCAGUCUGAGGCUGGAGGACAGCACAGGAUCCAACCAGCAGGAGCACAGCCAAGGACAAAGAGACGCGCCCAGGUCAUCAUCCUCUACAGACUGUCCAUCUCCACCGAUGAACUCCUCUCCAUCCAAAACCCAUAGUGCACCACCAAUUGCCACCAUACAAGCUCGUACAAGCUCGUCCUUCACCCCGACACCACCAAACCCUAACAACAGCUUCCUGGACUCCAAAAUAUGGGACAGCUGGGUGGAGGAGGAUGCGGUGGAGGCUCUUCCACUCUCACAGAGGGUCAACCCUUCUGCUCAGCUCAAAACCCCAGUGUCAUCACGCAGUAAAAAACGUCGCUCCUUGGUGCCUAUCACUCCCAUGCCUCACUACUCUGACAUGGACACACCAGAGCUCAAGAACAAACUCAACAGGUUUGGUGUUCGGCCUUUACCGAAGCGCCAGAUGAUCCUCAAACUGAAGGAGAUCCACCAGUACACCCACCAGCUGGUCAGCUCAGACUCUGAGGAUGAGGCACUCACUACAGGGCGCGCUGCUCAGAAGCCCCCUUCCACCACUUCAGCAGGCGCUGGCAGCAGGCUGGUCUCCUGCGCCCGGACAGUGACGUUCAAAGAGCCCAGAGCGCCCGCCGCCAUGAAACACAAAGGAGGAGAGGGGGAGGAAGAGCUGCUUUCUGCCUCACAGGGCUCUAACACCUCUUCAACUGCUGCCAGUGAAGAAUCUGAAAGGUACAGCAUGGUUCGUCUCAGGUGUUACAUAACUGCACGCUUGAGUCAGUGCACAUUUGUUUUGUUGCUACACAUAUUUUCAGAGGGCUCAGUCAAUACUAGUGUUCACUAGCGUGCUCAGGUUUACCAAUGUGAUCCUUUAAUAAAUAUAAUAUAAAACAUAAGAUGUUUGAGCUGCUUGCACCGUAUAUAGAGUAGAGCAGCAACAAUAGAAAAUACAUUUGAUAGUCAAAAUCCUUUGUGUAACCUGUCAAGCACAAUACUACACAUUUCCUGGUAACAGCUUAAAUUUGGAGUAUUUUUGUUUUAGAUGAUUGUAAGCUGAAUGUCUUUUGUCUAGCAAUUUUGAUCCUAUUUUUCUGUGGGAAAUUUUGACUGCAUUUUUCAGAGUUUUGUUAAUAGUAGUUAAGAUUUAGCCCCUGUAGGAAGCGUUAAUUGAUGUUUAGGAAAUGUUUUGUAUUUGGAACUAAGUUUCAGUUUGUCUCUUCUUCUUAGCAGGUAACUGUUCAUCCAUCCAUCCAUUAUCUAUACCACUUAUUCUUAAGGAUCACGCAGGGGGGCGGGAGCCUAUCCAAACUGACACUGACAGAUCCCCAGUCCACUGCAGAGCUAAUGUAUAUAGACAAACAACCAUUCACACUCACAUGAACAUCUACAGGAAGCACCCAGGAGUCACCAAUUAACCUAACCUGCAUGUCUUUGGACUGUGGGAGGAAGCUGGAGUACCUGGAGAGAACCCACACAGGCACAGAGAGAACAUGCAAACUCCACACAGAAAAGCUGCAGUGAAAUGGGGCUCAAACCUGGAAGUCCAACCCAGUGCUGUGCCUCUCCUCCGAUGGCGAUUCAGACAGCGAUGGUGGCGUCUCUGCCUCCCAGGCUGCGAAUCGCCUUCAGGAUCGCUUGCAGGCAGUGCGCUCUUUCAUCCUGUCGGACUCCGG